UACGAAGGGGGCUAGCGUUGCUCGGAAUCACUGGGCGUAAAGGGUGCGUAGGCGGGUCUUUAAGUCAGGGGUGAAAUCCUGGAGCUCAACUCCAGAACUGCCUUUGAUACUGGCGAUCUCGAGUCCGGGAGAGGUGAGUAGAACUGCGAGUGUAGAGGUGAAAUUCGUAGAUAUUCGCAAGAACACCAGUGGCGAAGGCGGCUCACUGGCCCGGUACUGACGCUGAGGUGCGAAAGCGUGGGGAGCGAACAGG
rnacentral:rRNA from 1 species